rnacentral:rRNA from 1 species
AGAGUUUGAUCCUGGCUCAGGACGAACGCUGGCGGCGCGCCUAACACAUGCAAGUCGAACGGAGCUUACGUUUUGAAGUUUUCGGAUGGAUGAAUGUAAGCUUAGUGGCGGACGGGUGAGUAACACGUGAGCAACCUGCCUUUCAGAGGGGGAUAACAGCCGGAAACGGCUGCUAAUACCGCAUGAUGUUGCGGGGGCACAUGCCCCUGCAACCAAAGGAGCAAUCCGCUGAAAGAUGGGCUCGCGUCCGAUUAGCCAGUUGGCGGGGUAACGGCCCACCAAAGCGACGAUCGGUAGCCGGACUGAGAGGUUGAACGGCCACAUUGGGACUGAGACACGGCCCAGACUCCUACGGGAGGCAGCAGUGGGGGAUAUUGCACAAUGGGCGAAAGCCUGAUGCAGCGACGCCGCGUGAGGGAAGACGGUCUUCGGAUUGUAAACCUCUGUCUUUGGGGAAGAAAAUGACGGUACCCAAAGAGGAAGCUCCGGCUAACUACGUGCCAGCAGCCGCGGUAAUACGUAGGGAGCAAGCGUUGUCCGGAAUUACUGGGUGUAAAGGGAGCGUAGGCGGGAUGGCAAGUAGAAUGUUAAAUCCAUCGGCUCAACCGGUGGCUGCGUUCUAAACUGCCGUUCUUGAGUGAAGUAGAGGCAGGCGGAAUUCCUAGUGUAGCGGUGAAAUGCGUAGAUAUUAGGAGGAACACCAGUGGCGAAGGCGGCCUGCUGGGCUUUAACUGACGCUGAGGCUCGAAAGCGUGGGGAGCAAACAGGAUUAGAUACCCUGGUAGUCCACGCCGUAACGAUGAUUACUAGGUGUGGGGGGACUGACCCCUUCCGUGCCGCAGUUAACACAUAAGUAAUCCACCUGGGGAGUACGGCCGCAGGUGAACUCAAGGAUUGACGGGGCCCGCACAGCAGUGAGUAUGUGGUUUAUCGAGCACGCGAGACUACAGUCUGACAUCGAUGCAUAGCUAGAGAUAGUGAGCCCUCGGGCAUCCAGACAGGUGGGUGCAUGGGUGUCGG